rnacentral:lncRNA from 1 species
UCCGAUGAAGUGUGACACUGGGGCAUGAUAUUGAUACUGUGAUUCUGGUCAGGACCAGUGCUAAUAUUCAGAAAAUCUUAUGGACAGAAAGCUUUCUUCUUCCUCUGAAUUGUAUGGAUGUCCUUGAAUUUCACUGAUACUGAAAAACUAGUUUAUCACACCUCAUGGUGUAUAGAGCCAGUUAAGAGUCUUGCCGUUCAGAAAUUCGUCCCAUUGAUCUUCGGGAAGAGCACUGGUUUGACCCUUCAGUUCUCAGCCAGACUUUGGCACCACGCUGAUUGCUUCUGUGCCGUGAAAUGAAUUUGUCACAGCAGUAUUUAUAAAGAAUCUUUUCUUGAAAAUAAAAAGACAUCUUCACCCCA